rnacentral:misc_RNA from 1 species
GAGGAAAGGGAAAAGGUAAAUCUAAUUCUUAUUUGCUGUUUUAGCAUUCUUAAUUUCAACAUUCUCCGUCAGCACACUUGCUUCUUAACUGCUUCAAGGCUAGACAUUACACAAUCUGCUGCUCCAUAUUCUAUUUAUAAAUCCUAAAUUUUACAACAUUGGACCUCAAUCGCUUCCAAUUACUCUGUUCAUGUUGAUGGGUACUUAUUGCUUGACCAACUUAUUUGAUGUAUGCCAUAUAUCAGAUGGAUCUUAUCCUUUCAUUCAUUGAUAUUCACUCUCAUUUUUGUGACAUAAAAUUUCUGCUGCAUUUAGAAAUAUUCUAUUUUUUUUUCCUAUAUAAAAAAAAAAACAGUUAGAUUCGCUCAAGUGUCUUAAGUAUGUAAUGGCAAUCAAUUGCCAAAGGACGCCUUAUGCCCUGGCAAGCAGAACUAUGUUCAUUCUCAAUCUACAAUAAAUUUUCAUAGAAGCAGUGCAUGCAUUUUGGCCUUCCUGAAGAAUUAGGCUUUGUGAAAUUCCCAAAUUAGUUAGCCAUUUUCUCACUUUUCUCUUUUUAAAGCUUGUAUACAUUUUAUUUUAAAGAUGAGCUUCCUACUGUUGGAUUCAAUUUCCUGUUACAGGACCAAAAUUGGACAUCAAAAU